UACAGAGGUCUCAAGCGUUGUUCGGAUUCAUUGGGCGUAAAGGGUGCGUAGGUGGUGUGGUAAGUCGGGUGUGAAAUUUCGGAGCUUAACUCCGAAACUGCAUUCGAUACUGCUGUGCUUGAGGACUGGAGAGGAGACUGGAAUUUACGGUGUAGCAGUGAAAUGCGUAGAGAUCGUAAGGAAGACCAGUGGCGAAGGCGGGUCUCUGGACAGUUCCUGACACUGAGGCACGAAGGCCAGGGGAGCAAACGGG
rnacentral:rRNA from 1 species